AAAACAGUGUUGUACCCUGAAAUCCGGGCUCUCGUGGCAGUGUGUGGUGGUCCGCAGAACCCACUAGAGGGCAACCUCUACAGACGCAGAGCCACCUUCUCGGGGAAGACCCGCACCACGUGCUGCUUCCCGAAGGCGGACGAGAGCAGGUAGCAGAACGUGGAGCCCGUGGUGGUGAGCAAGCACGCCAGGGCCAGACCCUCCCACGGCCCGAAUAUCGCGCCGGCGAGCAUGUUCUGCCACGACGGAGGAGAGAAGUGGAUCAGACGUUGACGGUUUCUGACCCGGUCCACGUGAAGGAUUGUUAAUAAUCCAAAAGCGUCAACACAAGAAGACAACGCAGACUCACCAGGAAGGAGGAACCAGGAAUGGCGAAGGACUGCUUGUAGAGGGAAAGUUGGCUAUUUUUGACUCUUUUCUGCAGUCUUUGAGACCGAGGCAUGUCACAUGAAAGCACAGCGGAAAAGCAUCGAGGACGCGCUUGAAAUGCUCGGAGAAAGCUGACAAAUUCCGCCCGAGGCUCAAGCUAACGAGAGGCGACGUGCAAAAGAGGAGAGAAGAAGAGCCUCGGAUCUCUCCUUGAGGAGGCGUUUGAGUGCGUCUUGUAGAUCACGCCUGCUCGCCAAAAUAACAAGAGGCCACCGCGACACAUUUCCCUCCAGAAAUACUGGACAUCCCCGGGUUCAAGUGUCGCCUUCCUGGUUGACUCGCUGGCCAAUCACCCGGCGACAUGUUGGGGCCAGCAGCCAGUCAGAAGGAGCCGUGAUCAAAGUCCCAGCAGCUGCUGGACCAGGACCACGGAUUGAUUUACACGGGCCUUCGAGUGUGUGUGUGUGUGUGUGUGUGUGUGUUUUUCUACCCUCUGUGCUAUUUCUGCCCUCCAAUCAAACGUAUCCUUACACUCAAACAUAAAUAUAAACAACUAAAUUAAUGUAUAUAUUGAUUAUAAUUUGUGUCUAAGUACGUCGCAUAUGAAUAAAAACAAAGAAAUUAGAGUAUACUGUACAUAAUUUAAAGGCCUACUGAAAUGAAAUGUUCUUAUUUAAACGGGGAUAGCAGAUCCAUUCUAUGUGUCAUACUUGAUCAUUUCGCGAUAUUGCCAUAUUUUUGCUGAAAGGAUUUAGUAGAGAACA